AGGAGGAGGUGGAGGUGAUCCGRSAGGUUUGUGUUCCACAAUWUUGAGAGACUUGUUGUUUUGCAGAUGACUCUGGAGGAGCAAGAGUGGCAGGACGGAGGACGGAGCUUUAACCAGGGAUGAUUCCAGAGUGGUGGUAAUCAAGGAGAUUGUCCACUGAUCCAGGAUCUACAGGUUCUCAGAGGUAACCCACAGUAGACUGUCUCAACAGUACCGAAGUGACUGAAUGAUCUCACGCAGACGCUUAAGUACCAGGUGGACUCAUCAACAGAAGUUGGAACAAGUGGUUAAUUGGAAGCUCCGCCUCUGCCACUCUGAAUCUGCAAGGUGAGGAGGAGAGUUUUUCCCUCCUCUUCCCAGAGGGAGAUGGGCGAGCGCUAUGCUCACAGCAUAUAAGAGGAUCACACGGCAGUGAUGAGGACUUGGCCAUUUCAUGGCAACUCUCUGCUGUGACAGAUGGGCAGUGUGCUAUUGCCAUAGCCUGAAGUUGAAAAAAACCCAAGCUGCUUACUGAGGUACUGUACAGUCUCGGGGAGCUGAACUUGGACUACAACCCUUCAUGUACUAUGAGAGGCUUUUUGAUAUCCACRGAUUUGCU